GAAUUGGUUUAAAAUGCCAAUGGUCGAGCAGUUCGACAGCACCAUCGACCUGCUUGACCACUUGGAGGGUUACAAAGCCCUCAUGACGUUGCAAGGGACGUCCAACACCCUCUAAUACUAGGCCUUCCCAAUGACACUCAAGAAAAGCACGAGGGUCUGGUUCUCCAGCCUCCCGCAUGGAUCUAUUCACUCCUUCAAGCAACUAGAAAGGCAGUUUGUGUUGUACUUCGACAACUAGAGGCCGAAGCCGAGGAACAAUAACGAUCUCUUCUCUAUUGAGCAGAGAGAGGAUAAGUCGUUAAGAGACUAUGUGGUGCAUUUUAACAAUGCCACAUUGAAAGUCUGAGACUUCAAUGAGAUCGACGCGAUGUCAACAAUGAAGUGCGGACUCAACGAUGAGCGUCUAAUUUUUUUUCCUAGAUAAAUUUUUUUUGAAGGACUAUGCCGAAUUUCUUGCCCGAGUAAUGAAGUACAGAUAGGUUGAAGAGGAAGAGAUACUUCGGCACAAAGGGAGGAAGAGCGAUGACAACAAGGGAACCCAUGACGAUGAUCGUGAAGCCCCUAAAGGAGGGGGCAACUGCCCCUAGAAACAGAAGAGGGUGAAAAGCCCUCCACAUCAAUUCAGCGACUACACCCCUCUCUCAACCCCAUGUGCCCAAAUCCUCAUGG
rnacentral:lncRNA from 1 species